GUCUGGUUCCAGAGCAGUGGUGUUUACAACUAAUUGAUCUCAACCAGUUACAGAUUCCUUUGUUCCUUCUCUACUCUCACUGCUUCACUUGACCUGGCUUAA
rnacentral:Y_RNA from 1 species